rnacentral:rRNA from 1 species
UACGUAGGGGGCAAGCGUUGUCCGGAGUUACUGGGCGUAAAGCGCACGCAGGCGGUCUGUUAAGUUUGGAGUGACAGUUGGUGGCUUAACUGCCAAAGUGCUUCGAAAACUGAUCGACUUGAGGGCUUCAGAGGGACACGGAAUUCCGGGUGGAGUGGUGAAAUGCGUAGAGAUCCGGAGGAACACCGAAGGCGAAGGCAGUGUCCUGGGGAGUACCUGACGCUCAGGUGCGAAAGCCAGGGGAGCGAACUGG